UUCAUCUGACAAGCCAGUGCACUGUAACUUUUAUAUCUGAUUAAUAAAACUUCAGUUUAUUGGAAAAAAACUUUCUUCAAUUUUUGAACAUGCAGGACUGCCUUUAACAACAAUGUAUAAAUACAAGCAUACAGUAUAUAUUUAAAAAAUAUUUCUAUUAGUUUAACUAUGUAAGGUUUAUGCAUAAUACAUUGUUGGGUCUGGAUGCUCCUUUAAGCUUCUUUCCCGCUGGAGUCACUCUUGUUAAAAUAAAGACACGACAAUUUGUUUCUAAUUUUCAAAGAGCUCGCGAGUUGCAAGCGAAACAAAACCGUCCAGUCUGCCUUGGUUUGCAUCUGAAAGCCCCACCAGAAAACCUCCUUAUUGUGAAAAGAUCAGAAAACACACCAUGUUACAAAGUGGAGCGUCCUAUCAUCAUAGCGUGACUCGUCCAAGGUUGAGUUCUGGCAUUAAGACUGUGUUCCCAAAACUUGCGAGAAAGCGGCCUUGGUACGCGAUAAGCAGGAACUAAGAUAUGAAAACAGUCCAAGAUAUGAAAGACCCAGCAAUCCUUGAAGAUAUGCACACACAUCUGCUCUGGAAAUUUCCAUCAUGCAGUCACUUAAUGUCAACAUUAAAUCAUAGAAAAUCAUAUUUCAUCUAACAUACAUAUUUUUCUUGUCUUUCCAGCUGCUCACAUAUGACCAACGAGGAAAUACUCCCCCAAACCACGUAUACAAAGUCUAUUUCUGAACAAACACAUUGCUUUAAAAUCUAUAAAUAUGGAUGCAUAUCUUACUGUAUUCUUUACAUUUUACAGCUAUCCAUUCUUUUAGUUAAAAUUCUAAAUCGGCAAAGGUUGCAUAUCUUUUUGAAAGUUGAAAAGAUAGUAUUUCGACUCAACUUUUGUCACUAAAGUAAGUAAAACGUUCUCACACACUUCAACUGAAAACAUAUUCUGUGACAAUCGUAAUUAUUAAACCAAUUGGUAAUACUCGAGCUGAUUUAAAUGUUCUCUUUCCUUCUGUUAUUGUCAGGCUUCCUGCAAGCAUUUGUUCUCAAGUUAAAGAAAAAAAUACCUAAAUAAUUCAAAUUUGUUGCAACUGUUUCUAUAAGAAGCUUCUAUAGUUACGAUACUUAGCAAUUCAUUUCCUCAUUUAAACCCCAAAAGUUAGCUCCUCUAUUUUACACCGGAUGUAAAUUAGAAUAAAACUCAGACAUAGUCAGAUAUAGGUUUUUUUUUGGUAGCUCGUUGUUCUAUUGCUCUGUAAAAAGUGUUAGACAUAAAACUAAAUUUAGCAUUAGACCUUCUAAAUCGGUCUGAACUGGUUCUGCAGUCAGCUGUGUUUGUGAUGGAAAGAGUUCAGCAAGAGUUCAGCAAGGUGGAAGCUGUGAACAACAUCCAGUUCUUUGUGGACGAGGCACCAGACUCUUUAUCCUCACAGAAAUUCUUCAAAACAACAUUGAUAUAUCAGACAAUAAUGUCAAUAAAAGUACGAAACAAGAAUAAAAGUUCCAACAAAGACUCAAAUUAAUUUGAAUAAAUAUUUUUUACAUUUUUUACCCUGAUUUACCCUAAACUGUUACAAUCACCAGCUGGGAGUGACCACGAACUCCAUCAGAGGGCACUCCACCCAGGACAGUUUCGUCCGUCUGGCUCUAAAGACUCUUAUUUUGAAGCGAUUGUUCCUCAUUGUGUCUGCGUUCCCUUAUUUGUCUCAGACCUCUUUGUCGCAAAAAAAAAACAUGCUUUUAUUUGAAAAUCUGUUUGGUUCACCUCUCUGCAGAAAGUUUCAUUUGAUGUCCUAAGGUGCCAGCUAAUGGGAAAAAUUAUUUUCGCUUUUUUGAAGUUAUUGAAUGUAUUUUAAAAAGGAAGGCAACGUGUCCUCUAGGGCAGUGGGUCACGAUUCCUGUGUAAGGGUCCCCCUUUUCCUGCAGAACGGAAUCCAGAGGCCCGGGUCGAAGGUUUUGGAUUUUUGCUGCAUUUCUGUCAUUCCUGUCCAUUUGUGGUAGAACAACAACAUUGACUGAGGCCAUUUCAAAGGACAGUACCAGGCGAUCUCCACCACUCCAUCCAUCAGGACUCUGGUUUUGCUGCUUCCUGGACAGUUCCUGUGGAAGAACGUGUUGUGUUUCUCAUUGAUCAGACUGUUCAUCAUCUGAGACUUGGAUGAAGACACGG